rnacentral:tRNA from 1 species
ACGGACGUAGCUCAGUCGGUAGAGCGGCGGUCUGGCAAAACCGUUGGCCGGGGUUCGACUCCCUCCGUCCGUG